AUGGAAUUAAGAUUUCCCAGGUUUAGCCAAGGCUUAGCUCAGGACCCCACUACUCGUCGUAUUUGGUUUGGUAUUGCUACCGCACAUGAUUUCAAAAGUCAUGAUGAUAUUACUGAAGAACGUCUUUAUCAGAACAUUUUUGCUUCUCACUUUGGGCAAUUAGCAAUAAUCUUUCUAUGGACAUCCGGAAAUCUGUUUCAUGUAGCUUGGCAAGGAAAUCUGGAAUCAUCGAUACAGGAUCCUUUACACGUAAGACCUAUUGCUCAUCUGAUUUGGGAUCCUCAUUUUGGUCAACCCGCUUUGGAAGCCUUUACUCGAGGAGGUGCUGCUGGUCCAGUGAAUAUUGCUUAUUCUGGAGUUUAUCAGUGGUGGUAUACAAUAGGAUUACGCACCAAUGAGGAUCUUUAUACUAGAGCUCUUUUUCUAUUAUUUCUUUCUACCAUGUCCUUAAUAGCGGGUUGGUUACAUCUACAACCCAAAUGGAAACCAAGCCUUUCAUGGUACAAAAACGCGGAAUCUCGUCAUCAUCAUUUGUCAGGACUUUUCGGGGUAAGUUCUCUGGCUUGAACAGGACAUUUAGUUCAUGUUUCUAUUCCUGCAUCCGGGGAGUACGUUCAACGGAAUGAUUUCUUAGAUGGAUUACCCUAUCCCCAGGGGUUGGGACCCCUUUUGACGGGUCAAUGGAAUCUUUAUGCCCAAAACCCCGAUUCGAGUAAUCAUUUAUUUGGUACCGCUCAAGGAGCAGGAACUGCCAUUCUAACUCUUCUUGGGGGAUUCCAGCCACAAACACAAAGUUUGUGGCUGACCGAUAUGGCUCACCAUCAUUUAGCUAUUGCAUUUAUUUUUCUCACUGCCGGUCACAUGUAUCAAACUAACUUCGGAAUUGGGCACAAUAUUAAAGAUCUUUUAGAAGCGCAUACUCCUCCGGGGGGUCGAUUAGGGCGUGGGCAUAAGGGCCUUCAUGACACAAUCAACAAUUGGAUUCAUUUUCAGUUAGGUCUUGCUCUAGCUUCUUUAGGGGUUAUUACUUCCUUAGUAGCUCAACAUAUGUACUCUUUACCUCCUUAUGAAUUCAUAGCACAAGACUUUACUACUCAAGCUGCUUUAUAUACUCAUCACCAAUAUAUUGCAGGGUUCAUCAUGACAGGGGCUUUUGCUCAUGGAGCUAUUUUUUUCAUUAGGGAUUACAAUCCGGAAUAGAAUGAGGAUAAUGUAUUGGCAAGAAUGUUAGACCAUAAAGAAGUUAUCAUAUCUCUUUUAAGUUGGGCUCUCUUUCUAGGAUACCAUACCUAGGGCCUUUAUGUUCAUAACGACGUCAUGCUUGCUUUUGGUACUCUAGAAAAGCAAAUCUUGGUCGAACCUAUAUUGGCCCAAUGGAUACAAUCUUCUCAUGGCAAGAUGACAUAUGGGUUCGAUAUAAUCUUAUCUACAACGAAUGGUCCCGCUUUCAAUGCGGGUCGAAGCCUAUGGUUGCCAGGAUGGUUGAAUGUUGUUAAUGAGAAUAGUAAUUCACUUUUCUUAACAAUAGGACCUGGGGAUUUCUUGGUUCAUCAUGCUAUUGCUCUAGGUUUGCAUACAACUACAUUGAUUUUAGUAAAGGGCGAUUUAGAUGAACACGAUUCCAAAUUAAUGUUGGGUAAAAAGGAUUUUGGGUAUAGUUUUCCUUGUGACGGCCCACGACAUGGCGGUACUUGUGAUAUUUCUGCUUGGGACGCAUUUUAUUUUGCACUUUUCUGGAUGUUAAAUACCAUUGGGUGGGUUUUUUAUUGGCAUUGGAACCAUAUCACAUUAUUGCAGGGCAAUGUUUCACAACUUAAGGAAUCCUCAACUUAUUGGAUGGGAUGGUUAAUAACUUACCUAUGGUUAAACUCUUCACAACUUAUCAAUGGAUAUAAUCCUUUUGGUAUGAAUAGUUUAUCAGUAUGGGCGUGGAUGUUCUUAUUUGGACAUCUUGUUUGGGCUACUGGAUUUAUGUUCUUAAUUUCCUGGCGGGGGUAGUGGCAGGAAUUAACUGUAGCAUGGGCUCAUGAAUGCACACCUUUAGCUAAUUUAAUUUUCUAGAGAGAUAAACUCGUGGCUCUUUCCAUUGUGCAAGCAAGAUUGGUUGGAUUCGCUCACUUUUCCGUGGAUUAUAUAUUCACUUAUGCAGCUUUCUUGAUUGCCUCAACAUCAGGCAAGUUAGGUUAA
rnacentral:rRNA from 1 species